rnacentral:rRNA from 1 species
AGGUCAUGCAUGUCUAGUAUAAGCAAUUAUACCGUGAAACUGCGAAUGGCUCAUUAAAUCAGUUAUCGUUUAUUUGAUAGUACCUUACUACUUGGAUAACCGUGGUAAUUCUAGAGCUAAUACAUGCUAAAAACCCCGACUUCGGGAGGGGUGUAUUUAUUAGAUAAAAAACCAAUGCCCUUCGGGGCUCCUUGGUGAAUCAUAAUAACUUAACGGAUCGCAUGGCCUUGCGCCGGCGACGGUUCAUUCAAAUUUCUGCCCUAUCAACUUUCGAUUGUAGGGUAUUGGCCUACAAUGGUAUCAACGGGUAACGGGGAAUUAGGGUUCGAUUCCGGAGAGGGAGCCUGAGAAACGGCUACCACAUCCAAGGAAGGCAGCAGGCGCGCAAAUUACCCAAUCCCGACACGGGGAGGUAGUGACAAUAAAUACUGAUACAGGGCUCUUUUGGGUCUUGUAAUUGGAAUGAGUACAAUUUAAAUCCCUUAACGAGGAACAAUUGGAGGGCAAGUCUGGUGCCAGCAGCCGCGGUAAUUCCAGCUCCAAUAGCGUAUAUUAAAGUUGUUGCAGUUAAAAAGCUCGUAGUUGAACCUUGGGUCUGGCUGGCCGGUCCGCCUCACCGCGUGCACUGGUCCGGCCGGACCUUUCCUUCUGGAGAACCGCAUGCCCUUCACUGGGUGUGUCGGGGAACCAGGACUUUUACUUUGAAAAAAUUAGAGUGUUCAAAGCAGGCCUUUGCUCGAAUACAUUAGCAUGGAAUAAUAGAAUAGGACGUGCGGUCCUAUUUUUGUUGGUUUCUAGGACCGCCGUAAUGAUUAAUAGGGAUAGUCGGGGGCAUCAGUAUUCAAUUGUCAGAGGUGAAAUUCUUAGAUUUAUUGAAGACUAACUACUGCGAAAGCAUUUGCCAAGGAUGUUUUCAUUAAUCAGUGAACGAAAGUUAGGGGAUCGAAGACGAUCAGAUACCGUCGUAGUCUUAACCGUAAACUAUGCCGACUAGGGAUCGGGCGAUGUUAUUCUUUUGACUCGCUCGGCACCUUACGAGAAAUCAAAGUUUUUGGGUUCUGGGGGGGGAGUAUGGUCGCAGGCUGAACUAGAUUUUUUCUCAUCACAGUAAG